rnacentral:rRNA from 1 species
AUUGAACGCUGGCGGCAGGCUUAACACAUGCAAGUCGAGCGGGGUGAUGGUGCUUGCACUAUCACUUAGCGGCGGACGGGUGAGUAAUGCUUAGGAAUCUGCCUAUUAGUGGGGGACAACAUCUCGAAAGGGAUGCUAAUACCGCAUACGUCCUACGGGAGAAAGCAGGGGAUCACUUGUGACCUUGCGCUAAUAGAUGAGCCUAAGGCGGAUUAGCUAGUUGGUGGGGUAAAGGCCUACCAAGGCGACGAUCUGGAGCGGGUCUGAGAGGCGGAUCCGCCACACUGGGACUGAGACACGGCCCAGACUCCUACGGGGGGCAGCGGUGGGGAAUAUUGGACAAUGGGGGGAACCCUGAUCCAGCCAUGCCGCGUGUGUGAAGAAGGCCUUAUGGUUGUAAAGCACUUUAAGCGAGGAGGAGGCUCUUUUGGUUAAUACCCAAGAUGAGUGGACGUUACUCGCAGAAUAAGCACCGGCUAACUCUGUGCCAGCAGCCGCCGUAA